CCUACGGGGUGCAGCAGGCGCGAAACCUUUACAAUGUACGGAAGUGCGAUAAGGGAACUCUCAGUGCUCAUGCAAUGCAUGGGCUUUUGUUAACUGUAAAAAGGUUAGCGAAUAAGUGAUGGGUAAGACGGGUGCCAGCCGCCGCGGUAACACCUGCGUCACGAGUGGCAAUCACGUUUAUUGGGCCUAAAGCGUUCGUAGCCGGAUUAGUUAGUCUUGGGUGAAAUCGUUGCGCUUAACAAAACGACGUGCUUGAGAUACUGUUAGUCUAGAGACCGGGAGGCGUUAGAAGUAUUCCAGGGGGAGCGGUAAAAUGUUAUAAUCCCUGGAGGACUACCUGUGGCGAAGGCGUCUAACGAGAACGGGUCCGACGGUGAGGAACGAAAGCUAGGGGAGCAAACCGGAUUAGAUACCCGAGUAGUCCUAGCCGUAAACGCUGUGUACUAGAUGUUGCAUAUUCUACAUGGAUGUGCAGUAUCGGAGCGAAGGCGUUAAGUACACCGCCUGGGAAGUACGGUCGCAAGGCUGAAACUUAAAGGAAUUGGCGGGGGAGCACCACAAGGGGUGCGGCGUGCGGUUUAAUCUAACUUUACGCAGAGAAUCUCACCAGCAGCGACGGCAGAAUGAAGGUCAGAUUAAAUGUCUUACCCAACGAGCCGAGAGGUAGUGCAUGGCCGUCGUCAGCUCGUGCCGUAAGGUGUCCUCUUAAGUGAGGUAACGAGCGAGACCCAUACUUUUAAUUGCUAGCGGACUCUUUAGAGUGACCGAGCACAUUAAAGGGACUGCCCUGGAAACAGGGAGGAAGGUGUGGGCUACGGUAGGUCUGUAUGCUCCGAAUCUGCUGGGCUACACGCGCGCAACAAUGGCGAGGACAAUGGGCUGCCACACCGAAAGGUGAAGCCAAACCUCGAAACCUCGUCUUAGUUUAGAUUGAUGGCUGUAAUUCGCCCUCAUGACAACGGAAUCCCUAGUAAUCGGGUUUCAUCACGACCCGGUGAAUAUGUCCCUGCUCCUUGCACACACCGCCCGUCAAACCAACCGAGUUGGGUUUGGGUGAGAUGCAGCUUUCAGUUGUAUCGAAUCCAGAUUCGGUGAGGUGGGUUAAGUCGUCACAAGGUAGCCGUAGGGGAACCUACGGCUG
rnacentral:rRNA from 1 species